rnacentral:rRNA from 1 species
GUGGAUUAGAUACCCGAGUAGUCCACGCUGUAAACGAUGAUGACUAGGUGUGGGGGGGGUUAGUCCCUUCCGUGCCGCAGCUAACGCAUUAAGUCAUCCGCCUGGGGAGUACGGCCGCAAGGUUGAAACUCAAAGGAAUUGACGGGGGCCCGCACAAGCGGUGGAGCAUGUGGUUCAAUUCGAUGCGGAGCGAAGAACCUUACCUGGGCUUGACAUGUAGGAAGUAGAAACCUGAAAAGGGGACGACCCGUUAAGUCGGGAGCCUACACAGGUGGUGCAUGGUCGUCGUCAGCU